rnacentral:rRNA from 1 species
AGUAACGCGUGGAUAACCUGCCUCACACUGGGGGAUAACAGUUAGAAAUGGCUGCUAAUACCGCAUAAGCGCACAGGACCGCAUGGUCUGGUGUGAAAAACUCCGGUGGUAUGAGAUGGACCCGCGUCUGAUUAGCUAGUUGGAGGGGUAACGGCCCACCAUGGCAACGAUCAGUAGCCGGCCUGAGAGGGUGAACGGCCACAUUGGGACUGAGACACGGCCCAG